rnacentral:lncRNA from 1 species
UUCACCUUGAUAUCCUCUACCACCUUGAACAAGUUGUGGUACUUGAACAUGCACAACCUUCAAGAAAUAGAAGCAAUGGUGUUAUUUCAAAUGACAUCAUGACUGCCUUAGAUUAAAACUUGAAGGAGGUGACAUUCCCCAGAAAAGUUGUUCACCAUACCAUCCCAUGUUGGGUUGCCCCCAGUCCAGAUCAACAGUUUGUUGAGGAAAAGCUUGGAAUUCAGUUGAUGCCUAUUCUUGCUGUGAAGAGGAGCAAUCUGAACUGAAGGGGAGAACAGACUCCAAAGAAGAGUAGAUGUGAUGACACCAAGAAAGAGCAGCCACAUAUUACCUCGAGAGGUUAACCGAAUGCAAAUCAACAGAAUAUGAUGCUGACCAAGUACCAGGAAGAGGUGUCCCCAUCACUGUAGACGACAAGUGAUGACAGUUAUCUUGAUGGACUACAGGAAUGAUUCAAGUGCAUUCAUUAUGCAGUUUACUGAUUUGUUUGAUGUAUUUUGAUAAUUGUUCUGGCAUUCUGAUGUCAGCUGAGUAACACCUCCAUAAUGGAGACAAAUUAAGGAACUUCUGUUUUGAAGCAGUAAAAUAGUCUCAGCAAGAAUUUUUAUUUAUUUUGCCAGCAGAACAGAAGUUUCCAUUAAUUUUCC